rnacentral:rRNA from 1 species
AUUGAACGCUGGCGGCAGGCCUAACACAUGCAAGUCGAGGGGUAACGGGGUGCUUGCACCGCCGACGACCGGCGCACGGGUGCGUAACGCGUAUACAAUCUACCUUUUGCUGAGGAAUAGCCCAGAGAAAUUUGGAUUAAUGCCUCAUGGUAUUCUAAAGCAGCAUUGUUUAAGAAUUAAAGAUUUAUUGGUAAAGGAUGGGCAUGCGUGACAUUAGUUAGUUGGUGAGGUAACGGCUCACCAAGACGAUGAUGUCUAGGGGUUCUGAGAGGAUGAUCCCCCACACUGGUACUGAGAUACGGACCAG